rnacentral:rRNA from 1 species
GAUGGCGACCGGCGCACGGUGAGUAACACGUAUCCAACCUGCCGAUGACUCGGGGAUAGCCUUUCGAAAGAAAGAUUAAUACCCGAUGGCAUAGUUCUUCCGCAUGGUGGAACUAUUAAAGAAUUUCGGUCAUCGAUGGGGAUGCGUUCCAUUAGGUUGUUGGCGGGGUAACGGCCCACCAAGCCUUCGAUGGAUAGGGGUUCUGAGAGGAAGGUCCCCCACAUUGGAACUGAGACACGGUCCAAACUCCUACGGGAGGCAGCAUG